rnacentral:snRNA from 9 species
AUACUUACCUAGCGUAGGGGAUUUCGUGGUCAUGCAGGCGAUUUCUCCAGGGCGAGGCUGCUCCAUUGCACUGCGGAGUGGUUGACCCUUGCGAUAUUUUUAUUCUUAUCAAUAAAAAAAUCAUUUUAAAAAAUGUAUACCCGAAUAAUUAUUUUCUUAAUAC